rnacentral:rRNA from 1 species
GCGUGAGCGAUGAAGGCCUUAGGGUUGUAAAGCUCUUUUACCAGGGAUGAUAAUGACAGUACCUGGAGAAUAAGCCCCGGCUAACUCCGUGCCAGCAGCCGCGGUAAUACGGAGGGGGCUAGCGUUGUUCGGAAUCACUGGGCGUAAAGCGCACGUAGGCGGCGAUCCAAGUCAGGGGUGAAAGCCCGGGGCUCAACCCCGGAAUUGCCCUUGAGACUGGAUUGCUAGAAUCAUGGAGAGGUGAGUGGAAUUCCGAGUGUAGAGGUGAAAUUCGU